AGCCCACUCACUCUUCAGGCCCACAAAGGAGAAUGGAUUACACCCUGCUCUCUUGUGGAUAGAGAGACAGGGAACAGGUAUCCAGUUGAGGAAGACCACGGUCUUGGAGUCUUGCAGUGUCGGGUAGAAGGCCACUACAUUGGUUCACAGAAUGUUAGCUUCUCCGUAUUUAACAAAGGAAAGU